rnacentral:rRNA from 1 species
GCUUAACACAUGCAAGUCGAGGGGCAGCAUUUUAGUUUGCUUGCAAACUAAAGAUGGCGACCGGCGCACGGGUGAGUAACACGUAUCCAACCUGCCGAUAACUCGGGGAUAGCCUUUCGAAAGAAAGAUUAAUAUCCGAUAGUAUAUUAAAACCGCAUGGUUUUACUAUUAAAGAAUUUCGGUUAUCGAUGGGGAUGCGUUCCAUUAGUUUGUUGGCGGGGUAACGGCCCACCAAGACUACGAUGGAUAGGGGUUCUGAGAGGAAGGUCCCCCACAUUGGAACUGAGACACGGUCCAAACUCCUACGGGAGGCAGCAGUGAGGAAUAUUGGUCAAUGGACGAGAGUCUGAACCAGCCAAGUAGCGUGAAGGAUGACUGCCCUAUGGGUUGUAAACUUCUUUUAUAUGGGAAUAAAGUAUUCCACGUGUGGGAUUUUGUAUGUACCAUAUGAAUAAGGAUCGGCUAACUCCGUGCCAGCAGCCGCGGUAAUACGGAGGAUCCGAGCGUUAUCCGGAUUUAUUGGGUUUAAAGGGAGCGUAGGUGGAUUGUUAAGUCAGUUGUGAAAGUUUGCGGCUCAACCGUAAAAUUGCAGUUGAAACUGGCAGUCUUGAGUACAGUAGAGGUGGGCGGAAUUCGUGGUGUAGCGGUGAAAUGCUUAGAUAUCACGAAGAACUCCGAUUGCGAAGGCAGCUCACUAGACUGCAAC